GUGGGAGGGGGCUUGCUCCCGAUGGCGGUAGUUCAGUCGAUUUAUAAGUAACUGACCCACCGCCAUCGGGAGCAAGCCCCCUCCCAC
rnacentral:misc_RNA from 1 species